rnacentral:rRNA from 1 species
UGUGCUUAACACAUGCAAGUGGUGCGACGAACCAGAGCUUGCUCUGGGGCAAAGCCGCGAACGGGUGAGUAACACGUGGGUAAUCUACCCCGAUGACCGGGACAACCCGAGGAAACUCGGGCUAAUACCGGAUGUGGUACGGAGACAUAAGUCUCUUUACUAAAGGUAGCUUCGGCUUCCGCAUUGGGAGGGGCCCGCGGCCCAUUAGCUAGUUGUGGGGUCAAGGCCUACCAAGGCAACGAUGGGUAGCUGGUCUGAGAGGACGAUCAGCCACACUGGGACUGAGACACGGCCCAGACUCCUACGGGAGGCAGCAGUGGGGAAUCUUGCGCAAUGCGCGAAAGCGUGACGCAGCAACACCGCGUGAGGGAAGACGGCCUUAGGGUUGUAAACCUCUUUCAGAUGGGACGAAGGUGAUGCGGUGAAUAGCCGAUGUCAUUGACGGUACCGUCAGAAGAAGCUCCGGCUAACUACGUG